rnacentral:rRNA from 1 species
GUUGUAUGGUUAAGUGACUAAGCGUACACGGUGGAUGCCUUGGCAGUCAGAGGCGAUGAAAGACGUAGUAACUUGCGAUAAGCCCAGAUUAGGUAGUAACAACCAUUUGAGUCUGGGAUUUCUGAAUGGGGAAACCCACGUGCAUAAGCACGUAUCCUUACCUGAAUACAUAGGGUAAGGAGGCGAACCGGGGAAACUGAAACAUCUAAGUACCCCGAGGAAAAGAAAUCAACCGAGAUUCCGAAAGUAGCGGCGAGCGAAAUUGGACUAGCCCUUAAGCUUUACACGCGUUAGACGAACGGUCUGGAAAGUCCGACGAUACAGGGUGAUAGUCCCGUAGUUGACGACGUGUGUUCAGUGAAAUCGAGUAGGGCGGGACACGUGAUAUCCUGUCUGAAUAUGGGGGGACCAUCCUCCAAGGCUAAAUACUACUGACUGACCGAUAGUGAACCAGUACCGUGAGGGAAAGGCGAAAAGAACCCCUGUGAGGGGAGUGAAAUAGAACCUGAAACCGUGUACGUACAAGCAGUAGGAGCAGGCUUUGUCCUGUGACUGCGUACCUUUUGUAUAAUGGGUCAGCGACUUAUAUUCAGUGGCAAGGUUAACCAUCUAGGGGAGCCGUAGGGAAACCGAGUCUUAACUGGGCGUUCAGUCUCUGGAUAUAGACCCGAAACCAGGUGAUCUAGCCAUGGGCAGGUUGAAGGUUGAGUAACAUCAACUGGAGGACCGAACCGACUAAUGUUGAAAAAUUAGCGGAUGACUUGUGGCUAGGGGUGAAAGGCCAAUCAAACCUGGAGAUAGCUGGUUCUCCCCGAAAGCUAUUUAGGUAGCGCCUCGGACGAAUACUACUGGGGGUAGAGCACUGUUAAGGCUAGGGGGUCAUCCCGACUUACCAACCCUUUGCAAACUCCGAAUACCAGUAAGUACUAUCCGGGAGACACACGGCGGGUGCUAACGUCCGUCGUGGAGAGGGAAACAACCCAGACCGCCAGCUAAGGUCCCAAAUUACUACUAAGUGGGAAACGAUGUGGGAAGGCUCAGACAGCCAGGAUGUUGGCUUAGAAGCAGCCAUCAUUUAAAGAAAGCGUAAUAGCUCACUGGUCGAGUCGGCCUGCGCGGAAGAUGUAACGGGGCUAAGUAGUAAACCGAAGCUGCGGCAAUGUGCUUUUGCACAUUGGGUAGGGGAGCGUUCUGUAAGCGGUUGAAGGUGUGUGGUAACGCAUGCUGGACGUAUCAGAAGUGCGAAUGCUGACAUGAGUAACGAUAAAGGGGGUGAAAAACCUCCUCGCCGGAAGACCAAGGGUUCCUGUCCAACGUUAAUCGGGGCAGGGUAAGUCGACCCCUAAGGCGAGGCCGAAAGGCGUAGUCGAUGGGAAACGGGUUAAUAUUCCCGUACUUCUUACAAUUGCGAUGGGGGACGGAGAAGGCUAGGUGGGCCUGGCGACGGUUGUCCAGGUUCAAGUGCGUAGGCUUAAGAGUUAGGUAAAUCCGGCUCUUUUUAAGGCUGAGACACGACGUCGAGCAUCUACGGAUGUGAAGUCAUUGAUGCCAUGCUUCCAGGAAAAGCCUCUAAGCUUCAGAUUGUAAGGAAUCGUACCCCAAACCGACACAGGUGGUCGGGUAGAGAAUACCAAGGCGCUUGAGAGAACUCGGGUGAAGGAACUAGGCAAAAUGGUACCGUAACUUCGGGAGAAGGUACGCUCUCGACGGUGAAGUCCCUCGCGGAUGGAGCUAUUGAGAGUCGCAGAUACCAGGUGGCUGCAACUGUUUAUUAAAAACACAGCACUGUGCAAAAUCGUAAGAUGACGUAUACGGUGUGACGCCUGCCCGGUGCCGGAAGGUUAAUUGAUGGGGUUAGACUUCGGUCGAAGCUCUUGAUCGAAGCCCCGGUAAACGGCGGCCGUAACUAUAACGGUCCUAAGGUAGCGAAAUUCCUUGUCGGGUAAGUUCCGACCUGCACGAAUGGCGUAAUGAUGGCCACGCUGUCUCCACCCGAGACUCAGUGAAAUUGAAAUCGCUGUGAAGAUGCAGUGUACCCGCGGCUAGACGGAAAGACCCCGUGAACCUUUACUACAGCUUGGCACUGAACAUUGACCCUACAUGUGUAGGAUAGGUGGGAGGCUUUGAAGCACGUACGCCAGUAUGUGUGGAGCCGUCCUUGAAAUACCACCCUUGUAGUGUUGAUGUUCUAACGUCGACCCCUUAUCGGGGUUGCGGACAGUGCCUGGUGGGUAGUUUGACUGGGGCGGUCUCCUCCCAAAGAGUAACGGAGGAGCACGAAGGUGGGCUAAUCACGGUUGGACAUCGUGAGGUUAGUGCAAUGGCAUAAGCCCGCUUGACUGCGAGAAUGACAAUUCGAGCAGGUGCGAAAGCAGGUCAUAGUGAUCCGGUGGUUCUGAAUGGAAGGGCCAUCGCUCAACGGAUAAAAGGUACUCCGGGGAUAACAGGCUGAUACCGCCCAAGAGUUCAUAUCGACGGCGGUGUUUGGCACCUCGAUGUCGGCUCAUCACAUCCUGGGGCUGAAGUCGGUCCCAAGGGUAUGGCUGUUCGCCAUUUAAAGUGGUACGCGAGCUGGGUUUAGAACGUCGUGAGACAGUUCGGUCCCUAUCUGCCGUGGGCGUUGGAAGAUUGAAGGGGGCUGCUCCUAGUACGAGAGGACCGGAGUGGACGAACCUCUGGUGUUCGGGUUGUGUCGCCAGACGCAUUGCCCGGUAGCUAAGUUCGGAAUCGAUAACCGCUGAAAGCAUCUAAGCGGGAAGCGAGCCCUGAGAUGAGUCUUCCCUGAUACUUUAAGUAUCCUAAAGGGUUGUCGGAGACUACGACGUUGAUAGGUCAGGUGUGUAAGUGCUGUGAGGCAUUGAGCUAACUGAUACUAAUUGCCCGUGAGGCUUAACCAUACAACACCCAAGGGGUUU